GGGAUAAGCAUAUACUGUAAUACUUGUUAAAGUAUUGAAUAAGAAGGUGUAUCCGUACGUGGAGUAUUUACAAUAAUGCUCCUCUACCAAUGAGAACAGCUGAUCUUCCGACGUGAAGGAGAACCUGGGAGGAGCUAUUACAAAAGGCUGGCAGACAGGUUGUCAAUUUGUUUGAAGAUCUUCGUGAUGGCUCGAAUCUCAUCUCUUUGUUGGAAGUUCUCUCCGGGGAACGUCUUCCCAGAGAAAAGGGACAGAUGCGUUUUCACAGACUUCAGAAUGUGCAAAUAGCGUUAAACUUUCUUCGUAUCCAAGAGAUCAAACUGGUAAAUAUCAGACCUGAAGACAUCGUGGACGGCAACCCGAAGUUAACCCUAGGCCUCAUUUGGACAAUUAUUCUUCAUUUCCAGGUA